UACGUAGGGUGCGAGCGUUGUCCGGAAUUAUUGGGCGUAAAGAGCUCGUAGGCGGUUUGUCGCGUCGGAUGUGAAAGCCCGGGGCUUAACCCCGGGUCUGCAUUCGAUACGGGCAGACUAGAGUUCGGUAGGGGAGAUCGGAAUUCCUGGUGUAGCGGUGAAAUGCGCAGAUAUCAGGAGGAACACCAAUGGCGAAGGCAGCUCGCUGGGACGGUACUGACGCUGAGACGCGAAAGCGUGGGGAGCAAACAGG
rnacentral:rRNA from 1 species